rnacentral:rRNA from 1 species
GACGAACGCUGGCGGCGUGCUUAACACAUGCAAGUCGAACGGAAAGGCCCUGCUUUUGUGGGGUGCUCGAGUGGCGAACGGGUGAGUAACACGUGAGUAACCUGCCCUUGACUUUGGGAUAACUUCAGGAAACUGGGGCUAAUACCGGAUAGGAGCUCCUGCUGCAUGGUGGGGGUUGGAAAGUUUCGGCGGUUGGGUAUGGGCUCGCGGCUUAUCAGCUUGUUGGUGGGGUAGUGGCUUACCAAGGCUUUGACGGGUAGCCGGCCUGAGAGGGUGACCGGCCACAUUGGGACUGAGAUACGGCCCAGACUCCUACGGGAGGCAGCAGUGGGGAAUAUUGCACAAUGGGCGGAAGCCUGAUGCAGCAACGCCGCGUGCGGGAUGACGGCCUUCGGGUUGUAAACCGCUUUCGCCUGUGACGAAGCGUGAGUGACGGUAAUGGGUAAAGAAGCACCGGCUAACUACGUG